AAAAAUUACACAGAUGUGUUU
rnacentral:snRNA from 1 species